ACUGCUGUGCUAGCAAUCAGCGAGACUCCGUGGGCGUAGGACCCUACGAGCCAGGUGUGGGAUGUAAUCUCAUGGUGAGCCAUUUUUUUAAGCCGGUCUGAAAAGCGCAAUAUUCGGGUGGGAGUGACCUGAUUUUCCAGAGCUGGUAUACGAUGCCUCUCCAGAAUCACCUUGUUCUUUCUGGAUCUAUUCAGAAUCUGAAACUCCUAGAAAAGAAAAAUGCAAGAUGCAUGAGUGUUGAUGUCUGACCAAACUCCAGGGUAGUGGAAAGAGUGUCCUUUUGCCUCAUAUCACCUUUGCUGAACACAGGUGCUAAAUGGAUGGCAGGUUGAGAGUUGAGACAGGAUCUCACUAUGUUGCCUUGCAUGGACUGGAACUCCUUGGCUCAAGAAAUCUUCUUGCCUCAGCCUCCCAAAUAGCUAGGACUAUAUGCACAUGCUACUACACCUAGUGGAAAAUGAAGCACAGAGAAGUUCAGUGAUGGACCUCAGAUACUACCAGCAGAAAGCAGAAGAGCUAGGAUUUCAACUUAGGAUGUCUGGAUCCACAGUCUGCACUCCUACCCACUAUGCUACACUGCCUCUAACUAUGAGGAAGCAAGGGCAUUUUUUUUUUUCUGGUGACUAAAAAGAUAAGAGUUCAAGUAUGUGGCUCCUGAUAAUCUAACUUAUACAGCCUGGAAAAAUUGAUAGUUACUAUAUCCAGACUGUCUCAUUCAAUUAACAGUUUCUCAAGUAAUCUUCUAGUUACUGUCGUAUUUUAUCUGUAUCAACUUAGCAAACCAAGUCCAAAACAUUUUAUAUGUGUCUAUCUUUCCUGCUGUUCAUAUUAUUGAGUUAGCCAAAUAAAUUCAAUUUUUUUUCUACUGUUUGUUUCUCACAAA
rnacentral:lncRNA from 1 species